UUGAUUAAGAAUUGAUUUAAGGUUUAAGAUUUGAUUAAGGUUUGAUUAGGGUUUAGUUUAGGAUUUAGGAUUUGUCUAGGAUUUUAUUAAGGUUGGAUUAGGAUUAGGGUUUGGUUAGAAUUUAAGAUUCUAUUAGAUUUUUGUUAGGAUUUGACUAAGUUUUCUUUAAUAUUCUUUUAUAUUUCUUUAGGAUUUCCUUGUGUUUCUUUUAUAACUUCAAUAAAAUUUAAUUGAGCUUGCUUAAUGUUUGAUUAUGAUUAUUA
rnacentral:lncRNA from 1 species